GCGGAUGGAAUUUCUUCGGAGAGGAAGCCUGCAUGACUGAGUGGCGGACGGGUGAGUAACGCGUGGGCAACCCGCCCUGCACAGGGGGACAACAGCCGGAAACGGCUGCUAAUACCGCAUGAGCGCACAGCUUCGCAUGGAGCAGUGUGAAAAGCUGCGGCGGUGCAGGAUGGGCCCGCGUCUGAUUAGCUGGUUGGCGGGGCAACGGCCCACCAAGGCGACGAUCAGUAGCCGGCCUGAGAGGGUGGACGGCCACAUUGGGACUGAGACGCGGCCCAGACUCCUACGGGAGGCAGCAGUGGGGAAUACUGCACAAUGGGGGAAACCCUGAUGCAGCGACGCCGCGUGAGCGAAGAAGUAUUUCGGUAUGUAAAGCUCUAUCAGCAGGGAAGAAAUUGACGGUACCUGAGUAAGAAGCUCCGGCUAAAUACGUGCCAGCAGCCGCGGUAAUACGUAUGGAGCAAGCGUUAUCCGGAUUUACUGGGUGUAAAGGGAGCGUAGGCGGCCUGCCAAGUCUGAUGUGAAAUACCGGGGCUCAACCCCGGGGCUGCAUUGGAAACUGGCAGGCUGGAGUGUCGGAGAGGCAGGCGGAAUUCCUAGUGUAGCGGUGAAAUGCGUAGAUAUUAGGAGGAACACCAGUGGCGAAGGCGGCCUGCUGGACGACGACUGACGCUGAGGCUCGAAAGCGUGGGGAGCAAACAGGAUUAGAUACCCUGGUAGUCCACGCCGUAAACGAUGAACACUAGGUGUCGGGGAGCGAAGCUCUCCGGUGCCGCAGCAAACGCAGUAAGUGUUCCACCUGGGG
rnacentral:rRNA from 1 species